GAUUCCAAAUUGCCAGAUAUGCAGGCCGGAUGGGAACAGGGCAUCACAAAUGUGAUGGCUGGUUUGUCGGGUUUGAAUAUGGUCUAUGAAUCG
rnacentral:ncRNA from 1 species